GGAAGUAAAAGUUGUAACAAGGUUUCCGUAGGUGAACCUGCGGAAGGAUCAUUAACGAGUUAGGGUCUUCUAGGCCCGACCUCCCAACCCUAUGUUUAUUGAACCUCUGUUGCUUCGGCGGACCCGCCUCACGGCCGCCGGAGGACCGCUGCAAGGCGUCCUCUGGCCAGCGUCCGCCGAUGGCCAACCACUUAAACUCUGAAUGAAUCGUGUCAUAUGUCUAAGUCUAUGAUUAAAUUAAAGCAAAACUUUCAACAACGGAUCUCUUAGUUCUG
rnacentral:misc_RNA from 1 species